rnacentral:lncRNA from 1 species
CCAGAAAGAAUUGCACCUGAUUUUCUAUAUUGCAAGUCACUAUAAUUUGAUCUAAUGGACAUAAUGAUGCCAGUUGUCGAAAUCUUGAUGAAAGCUUCACUAAAGAAGUUGUUACUUUGUAAAACACGACUCUUAAUUUUUUGGAAGCACAAGAUUUAACUGAAACGGGUUUAAUUCUCAACAAUCACCACAUUGCUUCCAAAAUUUAAGGCUAUAGUGCAC